UUUUACAGUCAUUGCAUAUCACCCUGCAGCCCAAGACCGGUUACUCACUAAAGCUAAGCAGGGCUGAGCCUGGUUAGUACCUGGAUGAGAGACCACUAGGGAACACUAGGUUGCUGUUGGAA
rnacentral:rRNA from 1 species